rnacentral:rRNA from 1 species
CAGUUCGGACUGUAGGCUGCAACUCGCCUACACGAAGUCGGAAUCGCUAGUAAUCACGGAUCAGCAUGCCGCGGUGAAUACGUUCCCGGGCCUUGUACACACCGCCCGUCACACCAUGGGAGUUUGUAACGCCCAAAGUCGGUGGCCUAACCUUUAUGGAGGGAGCCGCCUAAGGCGGGACAGAUGACUGGGGUGAAGUCGUAACAAGGUACC